rnacentral:rRNA from 1 species
AACGAACGCUGGCGGCAGGCUUAACACAUGCAAGUCGAGCGCCCCGCAAGGGAGCGGCAGACGGGUGAGUAACGCGUGGGAACAUACCCUUUGGUUCGGAAUAACUCAGGGAAACUUGAGCUAAUACCGGAUACGUCCGUAAGGAGAAAGAUUUAUCGCCAAAGGAUUGGCCCGCGUCCGAUUAGCUAGUUGGUGAGGUAACCGGCUCACCAAGGCUACGAUCGGUAGCUGGUCUGAGAGGAUGAUCAGCCACAUUGGGACUGAGACACGGCCCAAACUCCUACGGGAGGCAGCAGUGGGGAAUAUUGGACAAUGGGCGCAAGCCUGAUCCACGCCAUGCCGCGUGAGUGAUGAAGGCCUUAGGGUUGUAAAGCUCUUUUGUCCGGAAGAUAAUGACUGUACCGGAAG